rnacentral:rRNA from 1 species
UUUCGCAAUGCCCGAAAGGGUGACGAAGCGACGCCGCGUGGGUGAGGAAGGCCUUCGGGUUGUAAAGCCCUGUCAGGAGUUAAGAAAUGUAAGUGCGCUAAUACCGCAUUUAUUUGACGAAGGCUCCAAAGGAAGUCACGGCUAACUCUGUGCCAGCAGCCGCGGUAAUACAGAGGUGGCAAGCGUUGUUCGGAAUUAUUGGGCGUAAAGAGCACGUAGGUGGGUUUGUAAGUCAGAUGUGAAAGCCUCCUGUUCAACGGGAGAAUUGCAUCUGAAACUACAGAUCUUGAGUGUAGGAGGGGAGAAUGGAACUUCUGGUGGAGCGGUGAAAUGCGUAGAUAUCAGAAGGAACGCCGGCGGCGAAAGCGAUUCUCUGGCCUAUUACUGACACUCAGUGUGCGAAAGCUAGGGUAGCAAACGGGAUUAGAUACCCCGGUAGUCCUAGCCGUAAACGAUGGGCACUAAGUAGAGGGGUUUU